GUCCCAAUGUGGUAUAAUGGUUUGAGUGUUGGAUUAUGACUCUAAAGACCAGGGUUCAAUUUCUUGUUUGGCCA